rnacentral:piRNA from 1 species
UACCACACAUGCAGGAGGCCCUCA